AAUGCACGCUAGCGGGAUGCUUAACACAUGCAAGUCGAACGAGUGGCGGACGGGUGAGUAAUAUAUCGGAAAGUGAACAGUAGCGGGGGAUAACUACUAGAAAGAGUGGCUAAUACAGCCAAGUAUUGGAGCGGCCGAUAUCGGAUUAGCUAGUUGGUGGGGUAAAGGCCCACCAAGGCAACGAUCCGUAGCUGGUUUGAGAGGACGAGCAGCCACACUGGGACUGAGACACGGCCCAGACGCCUACGGGAGGCAGCAGUGGGGAAUUUUGGACAAUGGGGGAAACCCUGAUCCAGCCAUCCCGCGUGUAUGAGAAGGCCUUCGGGUUGUAAUGUACUUUUGGCAGAGAAGCGGUAUCUGCAGAAUAAGCACCGGCUAACUACGUGCCAGCAGCCGCGGUAAUUC
rnacentral:rRNA from 1 species